UCCUUCAAGCUCAAAUCUGCUCAAAUAAGCUCAACUUCAACUUAACUUUGCUCAACGAGCUUGUUUCAGCUCAUUUCAUUAUUGCGUUUAUUAUGUUAGAAUAAAUCAUUUAAGUUGCUGUUAGUUUUAUUAGUUAUUUGUUUUCAUAAUUAAUUUGUCAUAAUCUGGACAUGUUUUAAUUAUGUUCUAAAUUAAGUACUUAAUUAAUUAGGACCAAUUAAAUAUGUCUUAACUGAUGUGAUCCGAC
rnacentral:lncRNA from 1 species